AUGGAACAGACGCUGCACAACCUCACCGCCUCUUACAGGCAGGUGGUUUUUGUACGAGCACGAAUAGGCUCUGAAUCACUGUGGUACACUUUUGGCGGAGGAACCAGGCUGGAAGUUGGAAGCAACGCUGCCCCCGUCCUCACGGUCCUGCCCCCGUCCAGUCAAGAGGUGUCCGGUAAGAACAAGGCCACGCUGACGUGUCUGGCCAACAAGGGCUUCCCCUCCGACUGGAAGCUGGAGUGGACGGUGGACGGCAGGACCAAGCCUGGGGACGCGAGCCGCGGACUCCUGGACAAGGACGGCAAGUACAGCUGGAGCAGCACGCUGACCCUCCCUGCGGACGAGUGGACGAAGGCGGGCACGGUGGUCUGCAAGGCCACUCAGGGCUCCCAGACUCCAGUUCUGGAGACGAUGAAGAGAGCCGACUGCCCCGUGUAGAUGGGCGUCUCAUUACUGUGUUUUUACUCUGUGCUCUACUCCACUCUUACUGUUUUCGUAACUAGUAACAUAGAGGUUAAUAAUGUGCUUUGCUCCACUAUAUAUGUGAGACCCUUUACCUUGAGCUUCUCAGUAUUAUCCAGUGUGUCCUCUGCUCCUGUUCUGUAUUAGAUUAUUGGUGUGUUACACUGUGUGAUCUUGUGCUUGAGUGACGUCUGAAAUGCAGCUGAGAAUAAUAAACGUUUAUUGAAUCAAA